AAAUAAGAAGCAAAUUAUGCAUUUAAUUUCGACUUAAAAGAAAGAGAGGAAAUUCUCCUUAUUUA
rnacentral:tRNA from 1 species